rnacentral:rRNA from 1 species
CCUACGGGAGGCAGCAGUGAGGAAUAUUGGUCAAUGGCCGGAAGGCUGAACCAGCCAAGCCGCGUGAAGGAAGAAGGAUCUAUGGUUUGUAAACUUCUUUUAUAGGGGAAUAAAGGUAUCCACGUGUGGAUAUCUGCAUGUACCCUAUGAAUAAGCAUCGGCUAACUCCGUGCCAGCAGCCGCGGUAAUACGGAGGAUGCGAGCGUUAUCCGGAUUUAUUGGGUUUAAAGGGUGCGUAGGUUGUUUUUUAAGUCAGCGGUGAAAGUUUGUGGCUUAACCCUAGAAAUGCCGUUGAAACUGGCGGUCUUGAGUACAGCAGAGGUAGGCGGAAUGCGUGGUGUAGCGGUGAAAUGCUUAGAUAUCACGAAGAACUCCGAUUGCGAAGGCAGUUUAC